AGGUUUCCUCUGGUCCUUUCACCCUGGGAAAGGUUUCCUCUGGUCCUUUCACCCUGGGAAAGGUUUCCUCUGGUCCUUUCACCCUGGGAAAUGUUUCCUCUGGUCCUUUCACCCUGGGAAAGGUUUCAUCUGGUCCUUUCACCCUGGGAAAGGUUUCCUCUGGUCCUUUCACCCUGGGAAAGGUUUCCUCUGGUCCUUUCACCCUGGGAAAGGUUUCCUCUGGUCCUUUCACCCUGGGAAAGGUUUCCUCUGGUCCUUUCACCCUGGGAAAGGUUUCCUCUGGUCCUUUCACCCUGGGAAAGGUUUCCUCUGGUCCUUUCACCCUGGGAAAGGUUUCCUCUGGUCCUUUCACCCUGGGAAAGGUUUCAUCUGGUGCAGCGAUCUGUGCUUCCUCCAGGUAUGACUGAUGAUUGGCUGAGAGGUGUCUGCUCCGGUAUCAGAGAAUCUCAGCUUUCUCCUCUUGGGCACCUGGAUGGACAAUGUACACAAAGCCCUUUCUGACCUGUCUGAUAAGUUAUCCUGCCAUCUGAUACAGACUGGUGUACCAGAACUGACCAAUCAUUAUUAUUUUCAAGACACACUCAGGCUGUGCAUGAAAUGGCACCCUGUUCCCUACAUAGUGCUUAUGGGCCUGGGUCAAAAGUAGUGGACUAUAUAGGGAAUAGGGUGCCAUUCCUGUGCCCUAUUUCAGAUGCACAUUCUCUCCAAACGUCCUAAAAUGGUGUUUUUUAAACUUUUGAAUGUGAGAACAGUAAGGGGGUGGUCUCGCUCAGAGAAGUGAUCAGAGAGCGAGACGUUGCCUUUCAUCAAACACUUGAGCUGCAAAGCAUGCUGGUCUGGUUUACCACAGAAUAAAACACCAUCACUGUGAACAACGACUCACUCCAGAGAUCGUAACCUCUUCUUCGUCGGUCUCUCCUCUCCCUGUCGACCCGUUUUCAGUUCUCUAGUGUGAGCAGAACUCAUGCGGUGUACAAAGUGUUCUGAAUCAGAUUCAAUGCUCUUAAUGUGCUUUAAAAAAAAAUGUUUUUGUUUGCUAACAGUAUUCACAACCAUGUAAUGUAACUUCACUUGUAGACAUUGAUGUACUUUCAUGUGAAUUUUUGGAGGAACUUGUGAGAGGUGAAUUUAUAUUUUAAAACGACAUCCCAUUUCCUCUAGACCACUAUAGGGACUAGGGGGCCGUUUUGGGUUGCUUCCUGUGGUUCUGCAGAGAUGGUAUGGUUGCUGUGGUUACAGAGCACUCUUCAGCAGACUGACUGUUGAGUUAGAUGGUUCAAAUUUAAAUGAACCUUUAUGUAACAAGGCAAGUCAGGAAAGAACUAAAUGUUAUUUACAAUGACUGCCUAACCCGGACGAUGCUGGGCCAAACCCUAUGGGACUCCCGAUCACGGCCGGUUGUGUGACAGCCUGGAAACGAACCAGGGUCUGUAGUGACGCCUCUAGCACUGCAAUACAGUGCCUUAGACCGCUGCGCCACUCGGGGGUGUGACAGUUUCACAUUUAAACAGGUUAACAGUGGUCAUACAUACUGUAAGACAGUGCUAGAUAAAAGCUAUAGCUUGGAUACAGUACAUAGCUGUAUAGUUACUCUGUGGCAGUGUUGCUUCACGUCCAAAUCAUCUGACAUCAGUGAAAGGUUGCCAAUGGCGGUAGGGUUGUGGGGUUGGAAAUGGAACCAGGCCACCUGUUAUAGUGGGGAUCGUCCUCAGCUGUCUGUCAUCCACCACCCUCUUCAUGCAAACAUCCGUCUCCGAUUCCUUUUAACUGUGUGUGUGAGUCCCAAAUAGCACCCUAUCCCCUAUCUAGUGCACUACUUUUUGACCAGGAUCCAUAGGGCCGGUCAAAAGAAGUGCAUCAGAUAGGGUGCCAUUUGGAAUGCUGACUGUGACUUGUAAAUCAGGGUUGGGGCUCAGUUCCAUUUCAAUUCGGGAGUUUAACUGAAAUUCCGAUUUGCGUUAAAGUGGAAUGUGAGUCGACUUCCUAAAAUGGCAUUGACCCCCAGUCCUGCUUGUUAUCAGGCUUAUUAUUGACAUUUGUGUAUGUUCCUUCCUUCUGUACAGAACGAAUGGCCCAGAAACAUCCAAUAAAUUGCUUAGUCAUCUA